rnacentral:rRNA from 1 species
UACGAAGGGGGCUAGCGUUGCUCGGAUUUACUGGGCGUAAAGGGCGCGUAGGCGGACAGUUAAGUCGGGGGUGAAAGCCCGGGGCUCAACCUCGGAAUUGCCUUCGAUACUGGCUGUCUUGAGUGUGAGAGAGGUGUGUGGAACUCCGGGUGUAGAGGUGAAAUUCGUAGAUAUUCGGAAGAACACCAGUGGCGAAGGCGACACACUGGCUCACUACUGACGCUGAGGCGCGAAAGCGUGGGGAGCAAACAGG